GCCAGGUUGGCAGAAUCCGGCUAUUGCGGCGGUCUCGAAAACCGUUGCCCGAAAGGGCUUCCAGGUUCAAAUCCUGGGCCUGGCG
rnacentral:tRNA from 1 species